GUUCUGCUCUGGUUAAGCCUAAGGUGGUCAAUGACCAUGGGAGAUGUGAUACCUGAGUUUUGAUUGGCUGAUUUGCUGUGCACAGACUACCUUCGUCCUCUUUCUCCAACCCUCCCUCCAAAUGACUGGCCUUCAUCUCCCUUCCACUGGACCAAGCAACUGCCCAGGGCACCUUCUGCAGCUCCUCUUUUAGAUGGCUCAUGAAUUCAUCACCCUGACACUGGAGGAGGGGGAUGGAGUGGGCACGGAGGCCUGGAG
rnacentral:lncRNA from 1 species